GGGUUUAUAUAACAGCGUGAUUCUGGGUCAGGGAGCAGCAAACACACGCUCCUGUGUACACACACUUGCUGUAGGCAGCACACUCCUCAGAACAGAUGGCUCCAGCCCGGGCUAAGCACAUCACUCAGGGAAAAUGACUUUUUUGCAGCAGGGUAGUGUUCAGUGACUGCCAGUGAAGGAACUACUGCUGGUGAAAAUUCCCACAUUUUCACAGAGUUGCUGCCUGGGAAGCCUGGGCAAUGUGGUCUCCAGCACCUGCUGGCGUGUGCAAGCUGUGAGUGCCAGCCUCAAGGAAGCAUCCUGAUGGAAAAUAAAUAAAUAAUAAUUAAAUAAUAAAUAAAUAAAUGAAUGAACCCAAGCUGCAA